rnacentral:tRNA from 1 species
AGGGUUAUAGUUUAACUAAAACAUUUAGCUUGCAACUAAAAAAUACAAUAGUUGGCCCUA